rnacentral:rRNA from 1 species
GACGUAGGGCGCGAGCGUUGUCCGGAUUUAUUGGGCGUAAAGAGCUCGUAGGUGGUUUGUUACGUCUGCUGUGAAAACCUAGGGCUUAACCCUGGGCUUGCAGUGGAUACGGGCAGACUAGAGGUAGGUAGGAGAGAAUGGAAUUCCUGGUGUAGCGGUGAAAUGCGCAGAUAUCAGGAGGAACACCGGUGGCGAAGGCGGUUCUCUGGGCCUUACCUGACACUGAGGAGCGAAAGCGUGGGGAGCGAACAGG